CAGUUCAGACUGCAGGCUGCAACUCGCCUGCACGAAGUCGGAAUUGCUAGUAAUCGUAGGUCAGCAUACUACGGUGAAUACGUUCCCGGGCCUUGUACACACCGCCCGUCAAACCAUGAGAGUUGGCAACACCCGAAGUCAGUAGUCCAACCUCGUGAGGACGCUGCCGAAGGUAGGAUUGGCGACUGGGGUGAAGUCGUAACAAGGUACC
rnacentral:rRNA from 1 species